UACGUAGGGUGCAAGCGUUGUCCGGAAUUAUUGGGCGUAAAGAGCUCGUAGGCGGUUUGUUGCGUCGGCUGUGAAAUCCCGAGGCUCAACCUCGGGUCUGCAGUCGAUACGAGCAAACUAGAGUGUUGCAGGGGAGACUGGAAUUCCUGGUGUAGCGGUGAAAUGCGCAGAUAUCAGGAGGAACACCGGUGGCGAAGGCGGUUCUCUGGGCCUUACCUGACGCUGGAGGAGCGAAAGCAUGGGGAGCAAACAGG
rnacentral:rRNA from 1 species